GGAUUGUGGCUGAGUGGUUGAGCGCUUGCCUUGAAUGUGUGAGGCACUGGGUUCGAUUCUCAGCACCA
rnacentral:tRNA from 1 species